rnacentral:rRNA from 1 species
AACGAACGCUGGCGGCAGGCUUAACACAUGCAAGUCGAGCGCCCCGCAAGGGUAGCGGCAGACGGGUGUGUAACGCGUGGGAAUCUACCGUGCCCUACGGAAUAACGCAUGGAAACGUGUGCUAAUACCGUAUACGCCCUACGGGGGAAGGAUUUAUCGGGGUAUGAUGAGCCCGCGUUGGAUUAGCUAGUUGGUGGGGUAAAGGCCUACCAAGGCGUCGAUCCAUAGCUGGUCUGAGAGGAUGAUCAGCCAAAUUGGGACUGAGACACGGCCCCCACUCGUACGGGAGGCAGCAGUAGGGAAUAUUGGCCAAUGGGCGCCAGACUGAUCCAGCCCUUCCGCGUGAGUGAUGAAGGUCUUAGGAUUGUAAAGCUAUUUCCCCGGUCAAGUUAAUGACGGUAACCGGAGAAGAAGCCCCGGCUAACUUCGUGCCAGCCGCCGCCGUAA